GUGAACGCUGGCGGCAGGCCUAACACAUGCAAGUCGAGCGGCAGCGCGGGGGCAACCCUGGCGGCGAGCGGCGGACGGGUGAGGAAUUCGUCGGAAUCUGCCUUUUGUGGGGGAUAACGUAGGGAAACUUACGCUAAUACCGCAUACGACCUACGGGUGAAAGUGGGGGACCUUCGGGCCUCACGCAGAAAGAUGAGCCGACGACCGAUUAGCUAGUUGGUAGGGUAAAGGCCUACCAAGGCGACGAUCGGUAGCUG
rnacentral:rRNA from 1 species